GGCGAAAGGAGCUCGGUAGGUUUGAGCAAUAGAUUGUGAAUCUAAAGGUUGUGGGUUCAAAUCCCACUUUUCGCC
rnacentral:tRNA from 1 species